rnacentral:pre_miRNA from 1 species
AUAUAUUCUAAUCGUUGGACGGGUGCACUCUGGUAUCAUGUGGAUUUGCUCAUGACUAGAGUCACACUCGUCCAUUGCUUGGAAUAC